rnacentral:rRNA from 1 species
AACGAACGCUGGCGGCAGGCUUAACACAUGCAAGUCGAGCGCCCCGCAAGGGGAGCGGCAGACGGGUGAGUAACGCGCGGGAACGUACCUUUUGGUUCGGAACAACUCCGGGAAACUGGAGCUAAUACCGGAUAAGCCCUAACGGGGAAAGAUUUAUCGCCGAAAGAUCGGCCCGCGUCGGAUUAGCUAGUUGGUGAGGUAACGGCUCACCAAGGCGACGAUCAGUAGCUGGUCUGAGAGGAUGAUCAGCCACACUGGGACUGAGACACGGCCCAGACUCCUACGGGAGGCAGCAGUGGGGAAUAUUGGACAAUGGGCGCAAGCCUGAGCCAGCCAUGCCGCGUGAGUGAUGAAGGCCUUAGGGUUGUAAAGCUCUUUUGUCCGGGAAGAUAAUGACUGUACCGGAAGAAUAAGCCCCGGCUAACUUCGUG